rnacentral:tRNA from 1 species
GCCCCCAUAGCUCAGUGGAUAGAGCGCUAGCCUCCGGAGCUAGAAGCGCAGGUUCGAGUCCUGCUGGGGGUA